CAUUGAGAGAAGAAAUGGAGGUGCCUAAAUCAUAUCUAGAAGAAGUCAUUCCAAACCCAAAAUAUUACUAAUGUUAUGAAAUUAUUUGUUCAGAGUAGUUUUCAGACAAAAAAAAUUAGUUUGGAGAAUUUGUAUAUUUUAAUUUUGUUUAGAUAUUGAUAAACUCAAUUGCAAACCCAUCCGCACCCAAAGCCUAACAGUAUAAGUGCUAAAUUUUGGGGGAAAAAAUGCUAGCUGAAGAGAUCGUGAUCGCUGUGAGUAGUUGUUGACGGUAGAAUCGCUUUCAAUCGGACCGCCGGGGAAAGUGACUCCAUUAAGAAGAACUGUAUGUGUAUAUAGAGGGGAGGGGAAGGAAAUUUUAGGAGGAAAGAGACAAAAUGGGUUAGAGACGUUGAGGUAGCAUGCCAUGUGGCAUCUACCUCAUCAAAUGUUAAUGGCACAUAGGAUUGGAUGUUCACCUUGAACAAAUAUAAUAGAGGUAGAUUAGGCCCUUUUCCAAUAGUACAGGGUAUAUUUGGCCCUUCUCCAAAUAUAUUAUAACAAUUUCGGAUUUUCUGAUCCAAUAUCCAAUCCGUAAAUUAAAAAUUUUAAAAACAAAAUCUGAGGUCCAAUCCAUUUAUCCAAAAAUUCAAACCAAAUAUCUAAAACGUUUGGAUUCCGGGUUGACCGAUACUAUGCCCACCCCUCGUUGAAUUUCUCUGAUGGUAUGCUUCCAUGAAUUCUGGCUUGUGAUUUGUUCCACGAGGAGAAGAACUAAAUCACCAAAAAAUAAGAUGGUUAAAAAGUAACUAUUUGUGAGUUUUAUCUGCAAAUUGAGACUAUUGUUUUGGAUAACUAACCCCAUCCAGCAAUCCAUAUCCGCAUCAACAAAAAAUAGCUCAAGUUCUUAUUUAUUUUCCGGUAUGAACACUUUUAGUUUUUGAUGUUUAACUUUGUAACUGUAGCAACUUAGGCAUCAUUUGAUUUUAUUAAAAUUAAGAGGUACGUAUCUUAAUAUACAUGUGAAUAUUAAGAUGUAUAUGUCUGAAUGUGGAUAUACAUAUGAAUACUAACAUGUGCAUUAAAAUCUGAAUAUUAAAUAAUUAAGAUUUUUGUUUUUUUCCAAAUAUAGAAAACUUGUCUUUAAUUAAAACUUACAGUAAUAAAUAUAAAAUUCAAACAAAAUAUUAAAUAAUCUAAUUCUAUUGCAGUAUAAGAUUUUGUUUAAAAUAUAUGACAGUCGGUGAUGGUAAUGAUUAGAAGUGAUAGUUGGACUAGCACUUUGAAGAUCAUCUAGUGAUGUUACUCGACCUUUAUAAUAUAUGAAUUUAUACUCCAUCCCGAGUCUUCUUUUAUUUUAUUCUUCUUUUUUCGCAUUAUUUAUUACUAGUACUAUGAAAAUCGAAAGACAAUUUGGUUCCAGGUGAAAAAAGGUAUUUUCCUUUUGUAAAGCAUCGCUUUCUCUGUUUCCACGUACUCUGAAUUUUCUUAUUUCUUUGGCUCUAAAGACUCUAAAUUGUCCCUUUUUGGCUCUAAGAUCUGAAUUAUUUGUUCUUAGUGUAUGUUAUGGCCAUUAACCACUCUCUUUUUGCACUGAUUUAUUCUCCAAGAAUUAAAAAUACAAACUUUAUCUCAUUCCUUUAAUUCUCAUUGACCCCGUGUGUUAUGUAGAAGGCUACAUUCCAUUCCAUUCAAUGGGGAAGAGAGUGAGACUUUCCAACAAAUUUGCUCUAAAAAAGGUGACAACUUUGUCCCUUUCCUCUCCCUCUUGCUAUGAAAUUGAAGAAACGAGAGAGAAAAUCGAAGAGAGAAUGAACGAAAACUCAUUGCUUUAGAUUCAUUACAAUGUUUCUUCCAUUGAAAAUAAAAGACUACGUCACUAUUUAUAGAGAACUAAAGAAAAUAAAAUAUUUAAACUAAAUAUUUUGUAAUUGAUGUAGAGCAUGGACUUAGAAGAAAAAUAAAUAUGCUUGAAUAUUCCUAGACUUAAAAAGAAAGUAAAUUUUCUAUCAUUAUGUAAAUCAUAAAGUAGAAGAAAAGUAAAUUUUAACGCCUCUCUAUUUAAUUUGUCUCACAGCACUCUUUGCAUAUCUCUUUCUUCUGAUUUAGUCGAAAGGGGUUCAUUCUGUUGUCAUUCUUGGUUUGGUGAAACUGCUUUUUUUGUCAAAAGGGAGUCUUGCAUUGCAGAAGAUCGGAUUAGUCAGUUACCUGAUGAAAUUCUGGUAUAUAUACUGUCUUUCCUUACUGUUAAGGAAGCAGCAGACACAAGCGUCCGCUGAAGGCGCUGGUUAAGCUUGUGGACACAUAUUCAUCGGCUUGAUUUUGAUGCUACCAAACCUUUGUAUGAAGUAACCUUGCAAACCAAGCUACAGAAAAGGCAUAUGAAGAAGUAUCUGAGAUGGGUCAACUCUACUUUGCAAAUGUGUAAAGGGCAAAGACUUGACAAAUUUCGGGUUUGUUUUGAUUUAGACAAGUUCGCGCGGCAUGAGAUUGACAAAUGGCUUGAAUUUGCCUUUUCUAGGAAAGUUCAAAUUCUAGAGUUAAGACUUAAAUAAGGGUGGAGAGGACACUCGUGAUUUUGAUUGCUGUUAUGCUUUUCCGGCGCGGCUCCUUGGUCUUGUUGAUCCUGCUGAUUCUUCUUCAUGCACACCUCAUUCUAUUAACCUCCAAAUACACUCACUUGUCAAGCAGAAUUUCAAGUCUCUAAAAAUGCUGCUAUUGAAAUCUGUAAAUGUGAUUGGGGAAGUUCUUGAGUUCUUUUUACACAAUUGUCCAUUUCUCGAAACAAUGGUAGUUCAUGGAUCAGGAACAUUGGUAAAUUUGGAAGUCGUUGGUCCGUCCCUCAAGUUGAGACACUUGGAGAUAUGGUACUGCUAUUAUGUUGAAUCGCUUAAAAUUUGUGAUACAAACCUUAUCACAUUAAGGACUACAUCAGGAGAAGGAUUACUACUUAAGAAUGUCCCGAUGCUGGUUGAAGUAGAAAUUUUGGGUACUUACACCCAUAUAUUGAACGAAGGGGAGCCUUGGCGUAACUGGUAAAGUUGCUGCCAUGUGACCAGGAGGUCACGGGUUCGAUCCGUGGAAAUAGUCUCUUGUAGAAAUGCAAGGUAAGGCUGCGUACAAUAGACCCUUGUAGUCCGGCCCUUCCCCGGACCCCGCGCAUAGCGGAAGCUUAGUGCACCGGGCUGCCCUGUACACCCAUAUAUUGAAUGACAUAUCAUCUCGUCUUUCCUGCGUUAUCUCUCAGUUGGAGGUCCUUACAGUACAUGCUUCUCUUUCAUUGUUUGAUUUUUCGCAGGAAGAUUUGGAUCAUUACAAUUUUCCUGAACUUACGAAGCUCAAGAAAUUUGUUUUAACUACAUUCAGACCUGUAUGCAGCUGGAAAGAGCAGCCUCUCUUAGGUUGCACGUCUAUAAUAAGGGCUGCUCCACAGUUGGAGGAAUUUGAACUACAGUUGGAGGCACGUCCCUUCACGUCAAACAGAGAGUGUAAGAAGGCCAUAAAAUGCCCACUCCAUCACCUCAAAGUGGUCAAAUUAUGGGGGUUUUAUAACCGCGCAUUUCAUCUUGAACUCGUUAGGUACUUUUUGGAAAAUGUUGUUGCACUCGAGAAAAUCAUCAUCGAUCCUACGUGUCCACUUUUGGCUCGCGUCCCCUUGGAUUUUGAGGAAAUCGAACAUCGGCAAACUGCAAGAAAUCUUGCUAAGCACCAGCUUCAAGGUGAGGUGCCUCCAACUAUGGAGUUGGUGAUACUGUAAUUUUGUUUAUUAACGAUAAUAAUAAUGUUAUUUAAGGCCUUCCCAUUUAAAUUUGUGCUAGAUGAGAGAUUUGGCUUAGUAUUAUGAUUGUAUGUCCCACAAGGGGAUAAUGUACCUGUUUUAAUUUUAUAAU